UACGUAGGGUGCAAGCGUUGUCCGGAAUUAUUGGGCGUAAAGAGCUCGUAGGCGGUCUGUCGCGUCGGCUGUGAAAACUCGGGGCUCAACUCCGAGCUUGCAGUCGAUACGGGCAGGCUAGAGUUCGGCAGGGGAGACUGGAAUUCCUGGUGUAGCGGUGAAAUGCGCAGAUAUCAGGAGGAACACCGGUGGCGAAGGCGGGUCUCUGGGCCGAUACUGACGCUGAGGAGCGAAAGCGUGGGGAGCAACAGG
rnacentral:rRNA from 1 species